ensembl:lncRNA
AUUUACACCUACAUACAGUGUUUUUUGUUAUGAUGUCACACAUCAUAACAAAAUAACUGCAUGUAAAAGGAGUGAGGCAGGCUUUCUUCAUCCUUUGUCCCUCCUCCUUUCACGAGUUCUGUUUUAAAUAGAGAGCAAGCUUAGUUGGGAGAAGAGUAUCUACUUCUUGAACGCACCUGUGCCAUCCAUUAGUCAGACUGUGACAACCACUUGUUCAAGGAGAACAGCAACAUAUUUUUUUACUUCGUGUUCUUCUGAGAUCCAAAAUUACAGCAAUGGACAAUCGAAGCAGAGUUGUGUUCGCAGUCGUCAUGGUAAUGGCGUGCAUGGGAAUGAGAGCUGAGGCACAGAUCCCCACAACAGCUCCAAAUACAACAAAUACAACUCUUUCACUAAACAUCUCAAGGGCAAAUUGUGGAACCUCACAGUUCUGUGCUGCUCAGCCAGCAGGCUGUGACCCAUCUGUGUCUGGAUCCUGUUUCUUCGUCUCAACCAGUUUAAUCUCGGGACAGAACAUUUCCUUCCAGCUUCAAGGACAAUCCAGUGGCUACGUCGCUGUAGGGUUGUCCAGAACCAAUACAACGGGACAAAAUGACUCUGUCUAUGUGUGUGCUAACAUCAACAACAACGUUAAUUUCUCUUCCAAUCUUUACAACAACGGAACUCUGACUCCGAACAACACGCUGCCCUCUAACCUGGUGACUGGCUCAGUCAGUGGUCAGACCAUCCAGUGCAUGUUCUCUGCUACAGUCCCCGAUGCUACUUCCACCAAGAGCAGCAGUACCUCCUUUUUCAUUUCCAUCUACAACGGGACCGUGUCUAAUGGUGAAGUACACAAUCCAAAGAACAGAUCUAAGAUCAGCUUCCCCUCGUCCAAUCCUAACCUUAUCCAUUAGUUAUGGAAAUGCUCAAUUUAACCAACAUCAGCACCUAAGAGCUGCUUCAUGCCUCCAAACCCUCUGUGGACGAUGCAUCCCUUCUGUGUGUCUUUCUUGAACCCUCUAUUUCUCUCCUCCUUCAGGGGUGCUAGGUAGUCCUAAUGCUAUAUUUACAAGCACUGAAGCCGUGGACCUGUCCAAACCCAAUGCGAACAACAGCAACAGUUCUACAACAGCCUCACCAACCACCACAGCUAACCACGCUUUUUGUCUACAACGCACCCUGUCUCAAGCUCUGCUGAUCCUGCUUGGUGGACUAGUUUUCAUCAUGCUGUAAUGUGGAUCUCAGUAGUACACCACUUCACAUUCAGGAAUCCUGGACCUCUAUGGUUACUGAAGCCAACCAGGCUGGGUUCCCAAGAAUGAAACUCCUUCUGAGCAUGGGUAGUAAGACAUUAUCCAACAGAAUGAAUUCAGUAAUAUAAGAUUAAUGUUGUGUUUAUAGUCAAGGCCUUUUAAGGUACUUUUCAUCAUUAUUUAACCUCAUCAUCUUCGGCAUUACAACAUCAACAUCUCUUCAAUUCAGUGCCUGCAUAACAUAAAAAACUGUUGUGUUGAUGUUGUGUUGAGAACAUGAAUAUGAGGUAUAGACCUAAGACAUCCAACAAACAAGUUAUUUAUUUGAGCCCAGUCAUUUUCAUAUUCAUCGUAGCUGAUGUCAAGUUAUGUUGAAUGUCUUAGGUGUAUACCUAAGGAUGACAAGUAUGAAUUUGUGUGUGUGUAUGUGUGAAGUGUAACUAUUCGCUUACACAUUUGUGUCUAAUGAAGCCAAAAGUUGGCAGAAGCUGAUACUUGUGUGUGUAAUUCUGUUUGUGUGUCUGAUAAAGUACCAACAUUUUUUCUUUCUGAUUACCCUUUAAAAGUGUGAAAUGUUUUUCGUACAUUAAAAAUACAACAUUUAUUGACAAUACUAUGCAUUGUGUUUUUCAUACAUACACUUUUAUAUAAUUUAUAGACAGUAAAAUAAGUAAAAGACUGUUUAAAAUAAAAAUGAAUACAGUUAACAUACAAUAAGGGGAAUCAAGCAAUCAACCAGCAAAACCACAUAGAAUGUUCAAUUAAUUGAAACUGUUAAGGAUCUAUUUAUUACCCUAUUCUUAUUCUAUCCUUUAUUCUGCAAAUUAACUGUAAUAAAUGGACUAUUUUAGACUAGGCCUGAAAUUGCUUUAGAAUUUUCAUGGUUGCCACAUACAGAAGAAGACCUAGGUCAGCCUGCCCUGCUCUUAGAAGUGAUUAGGGCCACAACCAAGGCACCAGGCAUCAACCCUAUCUUUUGCACGACCCUGUUCAGUUGGAAGCCAUAAUAUGUGAUCAGAACAAUCUGUCAUGACGUUACUCUGCUGGUCUCUGUACUAAUUCUCUAUCAAUGUCAUGAUACUUUUUCCUGUGGAUCCAUGUAAUUAAACUUGAAAUAAUCAACUGUUA